AGGAAAUUCCACUCAUUGAUAAAGCUCGGCUUCGACACCCCUGCUCACAACGAAAUACCUUCCUUGCCAACCACAUUGCUUUAUGAUCGUGCCCCUUUACCACAUUGUACUUGAAACGCCUUGUCAUUUAAGAAACCAUAAAAACGACGUCUUUAAAAAUGGGUUCAUCAUUUAGCUGGAGAUGGCUUCUGUGCCUGGAACCAGAAGCCUGUCCUCUCGGUGGUAUGCCUCCACAAAAGGAAGCGAGCUACCACAAAGGACAGCAUCAUGUGUUGCCUUCAUUGCUAUUGAAUCGGGAAGUUGGUGCCCAGUUUCAAUAUGGAUGACAAAGUAGUGGGAAUCUGAAAUGCCUACAGUAGAAGUAAGGGUGUCUUUAUAUUGGGAAUAUCCUUGAUCCCAGGGCCCAUUUCUAAUUCCCCCUUCUCUCUUUCCCUGAUACAGGCUAUUUUUGAACGAGAAGGACUUUGGCUCAAAUCAACAGUUUGGUUUCUUACCGUUUACAUCUAUGAGUCAAAGUAGCUUGCUCCCAGGAUCCCCCACCAAACCGAAUGAAAAUAAAUUCAAUGUGUGCCCACUGAGCCUGGCCUGGGAGUUCUUGAGAUCAACUCAGAAUCAUGGUCUUUCUGUCACUCCCAAAACAAUCCUACCUAAUUCUACUUGUUCCUAAGUAUUGCCUUAGGAUACUGACAGUCUUCUCCUACUUACAGCUUUUGAAUGAAAUUAAAGCUAAUCCUCUCUGGCUUGGUCGGGUCUUGUGUAAGAUUCCCACACCCCACAAUCAAGGCCUUGCAAUGUGGUGUUAGAAGAGAUAGCCAAGUUACCACACCUGCAUCACGAUUCGGAUAAGGAUAGUAUUUUUUGCCUUCCAUGAGACAGCUUUGAAA
rnacentral:antisense_RNA from 1 species